UUAUUCCCAUUUUACAUAUGGAGAAACUGAAGCUGAGAAUGACCUCAUCAACAUGAAGGGGAGUGGACUAGAGGCACUCUAUAGCUCCUUCAAAUUCUAAAUUCUCUGCAUUAUUUUUUUUCUCUGCCUUCCAUCUUUGGAAAUUUGCCUCAUGGCCAAUCAUAUGCCAGAUUAAGACCACGUCCGGCUGUAGGGGGAGCCCUUAUCCAACAUCUCAAGGGCCAUGAUGCCGGCAGUCAUGAUACCGGAACCACAGGACUGAAUGAAGGGACCCCUUUCCAAGGAGGCGCCUUUGAAAACUCUUCUGUUGGGCCAUUUCAACUGUCAACUGAUCUUGAGUUCUGUUUACAUUAAGACAAUGAAGGAGGGGGUGCUUUGUGUUAAUUACACUGAUAAAACUUUCCUGACAGAAUGUCUCCUUGGUAAAUCCCAAGAAAAUAUUUGACAUCUCUCCUUGCAUCAAUGACGCUCUGCCAAGCAAAUAUUUCCUAAGGUGAACAGAGGGUUUUUGUUUUGUUUUGUUUUGUUUUACCUCUUUCUUCCCAUGAUCUUGGCUUUUAAAGGGAAUAAAUAAAAAUUGGAAGGCAAAGAUUUUUUUGGAUUGGGGAGUGCAAUAGGGGGUGCUAGGAGUUUUGCCUGGGGAAAUUUUUCAGCAUCUAAGUAACAGCAAUAUAUUUUGAAGAGAUAUAAGGUGUCAUUAAAUAAAAUACACUUACAACAGCUUAGGGAAUUCAAGGUGGGAGUAGAGGCAGGACAAUAUAGGUAAGGGAGGACAGUUGUAUUUCUGGACAAAAGAAUACUCAAGUUAGAACUGAAAAAUAAGGAGGGAGUACUUGGAGAGGGAGGGUUGUGAGUGGCUGCUGAUCUGGGCAGCAGAUAGUUUGUCUUCUAUAUCUUUCUUCUCUUUGUUCCCUUUUCUCAUACUUUUUCUUCUCUAUCUUUUUUCCUCCUCAUUUUCUUUGUGUGCUCUUUCCCCUGCUUUUGGAACAAUUCCCUGCCACUAUCUCAACUAAUAGGAUUCUCUCCUCUCAAAGCAGAAGUAAUAGGAAUUAACUCUUCCUAAAUUGUUAGUGUUCCCUCCAAAACUGAUUUGCAUUUUAAAAGAGAAGUUCUCAGAGGGAAGGAAUGAAUCCCUAGAACAACAAUGGAAUUUCGGUUUUGUGUGUAGGGAAGAUUUUUUCAGUGGAGAGACUUUCCUAGGCAGGUACCUCUCAAAUCAUUAUACAUAAGCAGCUGCCUAUUUUGCAUACUUAAUAGACUGGCUCUGUGCCUUCUACCUCUCUAUUCUCAUUUCUCCUGCCUUGUUUAAGCACCAUCACAAGUGAGGGCGUUAGCAGAAAAUGGUGGGGAUGUUGACAGUCCCAAAAGAGUUUCUAUCACUACUAGAUUGAUGGGAUAUAAUAUUUUAAUCUGAAUUUCAUAGUAAGUUUUGCUGGUUCAAAUUUAUUGAGUUCAUUUCCUAAUAUUUAAGUGACUAGUUUAUUUCUUAAUUAAAAAAAACCAACAAAAAAAAAAAAAGAAAAAAGAAAUGGAAAAAACCCCCCAAACCCCUCAACCCAAAUCAAAUCUUAAAAAUCUUAGCUAGCACAAAUCCCUCUUCUAAUAACCAACAUGAUGUUUAAGAACUUUGGAAACAAUAUAUUUCUCCCCUUCCUUUGACACUUAGGCUUGUCAAGUUGAAAAAAAUGACCCAGCUCUAGUUAUGGUUUUGAAGAAAUGAAGUCUUAGGGGGAAAAAUUCUCUUUAAGUAUUAGAAUAUAUAUUUAAAAGUAGCUUUUCAUUGCUGCCAAAAAUCCAGAUGACUUUGGGUUGAAAAAUAUGAAUCCCUAAAUGGUUUUAACUCAAGGUCAUGAUCAUAGGAAUGUUCUUAUGGCUUGACAAUAAAGAAAAAGGGAAAAUGGUGAUUAUCUUGUGAUUUUUUGUAAAUGCAGCUAAAACCAAAGUGAGAACAUUAAAAAAUGAUUGUAAUCUUUUGACUUGAUAUUGGAACCUUAGCUAGCCCAAACCUUAGUCCUCAUACCUACCUUUCCAGAAACAAAUGAUGAAUGCUGAAAAGGUGAGGUGCAUUGACAUAUUCUAUUAAAAUAGGACAUCCUGCCAAGUGAGUAGACACCAUUAGCUGUUGCUUUUCUUUCUUUCUUUUAAUUAUUGGAUAAUAAAAGAAGGGAAAGACUAGAAAUUCCCUCUCACAAUCAGAGGUACAUUUUCUUAUUGAUAAACAAAAGAAACAAAGCACACUCACUAAUUGGAAGAAAUUGUCAAUUGUGUCCUAUUCCAGCCUGCAGAGUGCCAUUGUUAAAUGAAAGAAUCUAGCUGACACUGGGGAAAAAACCCUUUUCCACAUUGUUGAAAUGCCUUUCCAUGUGGUAUUUAAGCAUUUUGGUAACAUGGUAGGAAUCUGACUGUCAAAGAACCUUAGAAAUAGCUUCUUCUUUUAGUGGGGAUUUUUUAAAAUAAUAAUUGUUAAGAUGGGAAAGAAUUGAACUAGGUUCUUAUAUUUAUAAAUACUUAAUAAGUAACACCAAGAAAAUCUCUUUAAUUAAAUUGAUAUCUUGAUAUCUUUCUUUAAUGGCUAGAUGAAAUUUGUCACUAGGCUGACUUAUUCUACAACUCUGUUAUCCUGGGAAGUGACUUUCCACUUCUUUUUUCCUAUUAGUGCUUUUACUCUUUCAUUUGUACAUCCAUUCACUCACAUUCAUUCAUUCAUUCACUUAUUUAUAACAUGUGGAAUGACUUUCUAAUGCAUGGUGCUCUAUUAGCAAUUAUAUUUCCUGUUCCUCUGCUAAAUGGUUUCUCUAU